UGAGGUGGGGAUCCCUGGGUGGCUCAGCAGUUUGGUGCCUGCCUUCAGCUUGGGGUGUGAUCCUGGAGACCCGGGACGGAGUCCCACAUUGGGCUCCCUGUGUGGAGCCUGCUUCUCCCUUUGCCUGUGUCUCUGUCUCUCUCUCUCUCUGUGUCUCUCAUGAAUGAAUAAAUAAGAUCUUUAAAAAAAUUUUAAAAAUGCCUAUGAGGGUUGCAGUGGGUAAUGCAGGUGGAAUACAAUAGGGAGCGGUGAGGACUUUGGAGCACUAGUGAGUUUCCACCUGCAUAAACGGAGCAGCUACAGCUUCUGCCUCUGCUGAUGUCUACCAUGCUGGAUUGUGGGCCUAGUUUGUCUGAUCUUUUGAAUUUUAUGUAAAUAAGGACUGUGGAUUUUUUUUUUUUUUUAAGUAGGCUCCAUGUCCAGGGUGGAGCCCAACAUAGGGCUUGAACUUGUGACCUUGAGAUCAAGACCUGAGCUGAGAUCAAGAGUCAGAUAUUCAACCAACUGAACUACCCAGGUGUUCCCAGGACUCUGGAUUUCUUAAAGGCUGCGUGAAAGCAGAUUCUGCUGAAUUGCUACCUGGGCAUUAAAAAACAGAACAAAAAAGCUUCCACAGAGGAUUACUGACUUAGCUCUGCAAGCUGACCCAAGAAGCUGCAUUCACAGUCCUGGACCUGUCUUGGAGUUCAGUCACUGGGAGGACUCCAGAGUUCACAUCACGCUUCUUGAAAUGCUGGAUGUACCCAGAGCAACCAGGUACCAGAACAGGGAGAAAGUCUUGUGCAUCUGCAUUAUCAGCUAAACUUAGCCAAGCAAGAUUUUCCAUUCACAGAAUUCUCUUCUUUUUAUAAGCAC
rnacentral:lncRNA from 12 species